rnacentral:tRNA from 1 species
GUGGCUGUGGCUCAAGUGGUAGAGCACUUGCCUGGCACACUUGAGACACUGAGUUCAAUCCUCAGCACCACA